GGGGGGCCUGGAACUCACACAGCCAGUCUCUAACGGUUAAAACUUCCUGAGGAGAACAGUUAGGAAAAGGAUGUCUGAAGAGGCUCCGCAGGAGGCAGCUGUGAAAAGGUGGGAAGCCAGCGGUUACAGUAACUACUCAAACUACUGAUUUUUCCACUGUGCACUCAGUCUCAGGCUUCCAGACCUUCGCUCAUGCUGUUCCUUCUGCCUAGAAUGCUUUUCCCUACACUCCUCCCUGAAUAACCCCUACUGGUGUUUUGAGACCUGCCUCAGGCCCCUGCCACCUGCAGGACUGCUUCUCCGGGCUGCCGGGUCCGGGGAGCGCCCCUUCCGCGGCGUGUCACAGCCCUGUGCGUUCACUGGAGCCGUGUGUCCACACCCACUCUGCAUGUGAUUGUUGGACGCCGACCACGCCAGGCACACGGCCGGGUGCUGCGGUGCGUGGAGGGAAAAUAAAACAAAACAACUGUAACAGCGAAGACGCACUCUCGGCCCUGACGAAGCUCGUAAGCUUCAGCGUGUAGGACAGAAGGACAGAUCCAACAAGUACGCAGAAAGAUACACACAUGCCUUGCUUUCCAGAUGCUCACUGUCUAGAUUCGGUAACUCCUGGAUCUGGAGAAUGUCUUAAAUAAACCUCGUGCUACCUGUA